CUGAAAUACCGAUCUCAAAAAAAGAUCAUGUGGCGACAUCUCGACGAAAUCAAUUUUACCAACUAUCAAUCCGGCCAAAAAGUCAGAGCGAUAUGUGACAAUCGAAGAUAAAAAUCGAAAGUGUUACGACCGAAUAUUAUGAAUAACGAACAUGAAAUUGAUAUGACUCCUGUGAUUUCGCGAGAAGAUGAAAAAAAAAGUUGCAAACACGUGGUUUCACGAGAAGAUAAGAUAAGCGAGCAUGUUGCACAGCUAAUGAAAUGAUACGUUCACCUUAAAAGACAAUAAUAAAGAAAAAAAGAAUAUCCAUAAAUAACUGUACAGGCAGGAAAUUGAGAAAAAUCAGAUUUUAAAACUUUAGCAGAAAUAGCAGAUAAAAUAAGACAAAAUGUGCCCUACGUUAUGGAAAUAAUAUCGAAGAAAAUUGGCAUAUUGACAAGCUAUGGAAACAAAAGAAAAAUGUUAUCGAAGAAAUUAAAACAAUAAUCAAGGGUUUGAAAGGCAGAACAAGAGAUUUCAAUAACGAAUACAAGGAUGAUAAGUUUACCAUUAUCAUUAAAAUACUUAGAACCUCCUUAGAACAAUAUCAUAACAAAUGUGUUACAACACGUAUGUUUAUAAUCAAGAAACAAAAAACUAAAUUACCUAUCGUUCGAAUGAAGAAAGAAUCAAUGGUGAGACAAGAAUAAUAAUAUGUCGACAAGAGUUAAGCAUAUAUGUCUUUACGACAAAGUCCAGCUUAGUAGAGUUUGGUUAAGCUCUUUCAAGAGAUACUAUACCUUUUAUAAAUGCCUUUCUCAUUUAUUUUGGACUAACGGCCAACCGAAAGAGAGAAAUUUUCAAGAUAGCAUUCAACGACAACGGUUCAAGAGAUGAUGAAGAAAAAGAACAAGAUCCUUUUAUUCUAUUUAUUGAAAAAGAAAUAAUUCUGAAACAAAUUGUAUAGAAUGAAUUAAUAAAACUUAAUAACAGAUUUGAAGAAAAUAAAAACAAAACAAA